rnacentral:rRNA from 1 species
UACGGAGGGGGCUAGCGUUGUUCGGAAUCAUUGGGCGUAAAGGGCGCGUAGGCGGUCAGCACAAGUCAGUUGUGAAAUCUCCGGGCUUAACCCGGAAAGGUCAACUGAUACUGUGCGACUAGAGUGCGGAAGGGGCAACUGGAAUUCUCGGUGUAGCGGUGAAAUGCGUAGAUAUCGAGAGGAACACCUGCGGCGAAGGCGGGUUGCUGGGCCGACACUGACGCUGAUGCGCGAAAGCCAGGGGAGCGAACGGG